rnacentral:rRNA from 1 species
GAUGAACGCUGGCGGCGUGCCUAAUACAUGCAAGUCGAGCGAACAGACGAGGAGCUUGCUCCUCUGACGUUAGCGGCGGACGGGUGAGUAACACGUGGAUAACCUACCUAUAAGACUGGGAUAACUUCGGGAAACCGGAGCUAAUACCGGAUAAUAUAUUGAACCGCAUGGUUCAAUAGUGAAAGACGGUUUUGCUGUAACUUAUAGAUGGAUCCGCGCCGCAUUAGCUAGUUGGUAAGGUAACGGCUUACCAAGGCAACGAUGCGUAGCCGACCUGAGAGGGUGAUCGGCCACACUGGAACUGAGACACGGUCCAGAGUCCUACGGGAGGCAGCAGUAGGGAAUCUUCCGCAAUGGGCGAAAGCUUGACGGAGCAACGCCGCGUGAGUGAUGAAGGUCUUCGGAUCGUAAAACUCUGUUAUUAGGGAAGAACAAAUGUGUAAGUAACUAUGCACGUCUUGACGGUACCUAAUCAGAAAGCCACGGCUAACUACGUG